AGAGUUUGAUCCUGGCUCAGAUUGAACGCUGGCGGCAUGCCUUACACAUGCAAGUCGAACGGCAGCACGGGAGCAAUCCUGGUGGCGAGUGGCGAACGGGUGAGUAAUAUAUCGGAACGUGCCCAGUCGUGGGGGAUAACGCAGCGAAAGCUGUGCUAAUACCGCAUACGAUCUCUGGAUGAAAGCGGGGGACUCGCAAGAGCCUCGCGCGAUUGGAGCGGCCGAUAUCAGAUUAGCUAGUUGGUGGGGUAAAGGCCCACCAAGGCGACGAUCUGUAGCUGGUCUGAGAGGACGACCAGCCACACUGGAACUGAGACACGGUCCAGACUCCUACGGGAGGCAGCAGUGGGGAAUUUUGGACAAUAGGCGCAAGCCUGAUCCAGCAAUGCCGCGUGCAGGAUGAAGGCCUUCGGGUUGUAAACUGCUUUUGUACGGAACGAAAAGGUCUGCCUUAAUACGGUGGGCACAUGACGGUACCGUAAGAAUAAGCACCGGCUAACUACGUGCCAGCAGCCGCGGUAAUACGUAGGGUGCGAGCGUUAAUCGGAAUUACUGGGCGUAAAGCGUGCGCAGGCGGUUAUAUAAGACAGAUGUGAAAUCCCCGGGCUCAACCUAGGACCUGCAUUUGUGACUGUAUAGCUAGAGUACGGU
rnacentral:rRNA from 1 species